CUUGGGUGCUAGGAAGACCCUAGAGCAGCUCACAGGACCGAGAUCUGUUUUACUUACUAGAUCACCGGCCUGCUGGGAGAGGACACAAGUCACCACCAGCCAGGGGGAGGCGAUGCGGGGCAAGACACGUUCUCCAGGGUGAAAUGCAAGGCAGGAAGGCCCCAAGGCCCCCGGAACGAAGGCAGAAGUACACAUUACAGCUUCACCUCAACAUACCAGCAGGUCGGGAUUCGCACACCUUUUCGCCGAUGAGAAAAAUGAGGCUCGGAAAGAUGAGGCAACGUGGCCAGUGUCACAAAGCUGCAAUUGGCACAGCAGGGAUUUCGUGUGUAUGUGUGUGAGCCCCAGGUCAUGUUUUACAUUACUACACCACAACUGCGGCACAGGUGACCCCUAAACCUGCGCGGAACACUGGCUCUCUUCCCCGUGUCUGGGAGGCAGGAAGGAAGCAAAGAAGAGAGGGAAGGGAAGCCAUCCUUUACCAGGCCCCGCUUGUCCCCUCAAAAUGCUCAAGGAAUAAUUAGACUAAGUGUAGUAAGUACUCACUUGAUGAUACUAAGGGCUUUGUAUGAUCACGUCAACGAACCAAACGAGAGUUUGCACACCCCGUUGCAGCAAGCCAACGAGAACAGACACCCAGCUUUUGCAGUGAAGAAAGCUGGUGAUGCAGGCUCUGCGGGGAGUAUCUGCCUGCAAGCGCCCCCUUCAGGGCUCCGGUUCCAUUUUAAAUGAGGUUUCCUUUAUUUUCACAAAGGGAAUAUUUUCUUGCACCCAAACUGAGGCCCAAAGCGUGUGAUUCAACAGCUCCAUGAUGUUAAAAAGCACAUUGCUUCACCUCAAAGUUAGCAAGAUGACAGAAGUCGCAGACGUCACACCCAGACCCGACAGUAUCUAAGAUCAUCUAUCCCUGUGCCUCCCUCUUAAGGGUAAGGGGACUUCCCAAAUCCUCCUAAUCAACCUGAAGAUUCUUUGAAUGGAAUUGGAUCACCUGUGCAUCCCUGAACUGACAUUAUUAAGGGGAGAAUAAUUACCCUUCAUUAAUAAAGCCUACACAUGUAACCAGGGCUGAGAUCAGCUUCCCCUGAAGUCCAGGGUAAGAAGCGGAGACAUGAGGGGGAAAAAAUCAGAUUCUUUUGGAAAGAAGGGGAUAAAAGUGAAUUCUGAGUAGGCAACCAGGAGUGACCACGAAACAAAUGCAUCCACUAAAGAGGUGUAAGAAAUACAUGGACUUUGGCUAUAAAGCCACAAGAAUGACUAAAAUGAAAAAAGAUGAACUGUGCCAAAUUGUGACCAAGUGAGUUGGCAAAGGAGUAAAGCCACCAGAGCUCUCAUACGCAGCUGAUUCGAGCUAAAGAGCUAAUCCACUCCAGGAUCUACGGAAGCUGAAUAUACAUGCUCUGUGUUAUCUACCAAUGCUACUCCUAGGAAUGUACCCAUAUGUUCACCCUAAGACGUGUGCUAGAAUGUUCACGUAUUCAUAAGCGCCUGAAACUGGGAAGGCACCCAAAUGCCCAUCCACACUAGAUCAGAUGAUGAAACCAAGGUGAAGAGAGCUACAGGAAGUUGCCCAGAUCCCACUGCUAUUUUGUGGACAAGCCAGGGAUUAAAUUUAGAUUCUCUAACUCCCAAGUGCUGUGCCCUCUCCCUCAGGCUGCCAUCCUUAGCAUGAGCCUUCUUCUCGAAGAAUCACACUGAGGUUUGGCGGAAGUCCCUUCCAGUCUCAAGAGUGCACCCGAGAGCUGACACACCGGCUACCCUGGGCCGCCUGAACUACACCAUGGAGCCAAGACCAGGGAUGGGAACAUCGGUGGGCUGACCCAAGUGUCGCUGACCUACCCACCAAAGAUAAUCACAGCUAAGAGUUUAGUGUCU